UUCCUGUUUAUGACCGACUUGUUUCGUUCAUGUAUGUAUAAGCCCCACGCAUCAACAAAAAUUGCUACGAAAGAAUAUAAGUACAGGGCUUUAAAUAGUCGGAGGUUUUAUACGGUAUAUAUUAUCAUAAAAUUCAUUCAAUGGAAAACAUCACUACUGUGGACAUGUCUAGGCAAUGCCUUAGCUAGUAACAAAAAUAUAGUUUAUAUAUAAAA